AGUGAACGCUGGCGGUAUGCCUAACACAUGCAAGUCGAACGGCAGCACAGUAAGAGCUUGCUCUUACGGGUGGCGAGUGGCGGACGGGUGAGGAAUACAUCGGAAUCUACUUUUUCGUGGGGGAUAACGUAGGGAAACUUACGCUAAUACCGCAUACGACCUACGGGUGAAAGCAGUGGAUCUUCGGACCUUGCGCGAUUGAAUGAGCCGAUGUCGGAUUAGCUAGUUGGCGGGGUAAAGGCCCACCAAGGCGACGAUCCGUAGCUGGUCUGAGAGGAUGAUCAGCCACACUGGAACUGAGACACGGUCCAGACUCCUACGGGAGGCAGCAGUGGGGAAUAUUGGACAAUGGGCGCAAGCCUGAUCCAGCCAUACCGCGUGGGUGAAGAAGGCCUUCGGGUUGUAAAGCCCUGUUGUUGGGAAAGAAAAGCAGCAGGUUAAUACCCCGCUGUUCUGACGGUACCCAAAGAAUAAGCACCGGCUAACUUCGUG
rnacentral:rRNA from 1 species